CUGCUUAACCCUCAAAGUGAAGUGUCGUCGUUUGCAGUUCAGGAGAUUGGUGCUUGCAGUAGCUGAAAAAGGGGAAUAUCGCCUAAACGGUUUUUAACCUCUUUUGGGCAAAACGGUCCGUUACAAUUAUAUCACAGGCAGAGGGGAGGAUUUUUGUAUGUAAUUGCUGGGAGUGUUUCUGUAAUAUACGUGUAUGAUUGGUUGUUGUGCAAAACCCUGUGGGUGGUCCUAUCUAAGGGAAACCUGCAUAAAAGAAGGUUCUUUUGGUGCCAGUAAACUUAUUCUGCUUAACCCUCAAAUGAAGUGUCGUCUCAUUAUUGGGGGAAUUGGAUUGUAUGCUGACUGCCAGGAGUGUAAACCUUUCGUAUGGUUUUUCCUGUUCAGCUGUUUCCAGUAUUAGUGAG